CCUACGGGGGGCAGCAGUGGGGGAUAUUGCACAAUGGGGGAAACCCUGAUGCAGCGACGCCGCGUGAGUGAAGAAGUAUCACGGUAUGUAAAGCUCUAUCAGCAGGGAAGAAAAUGACGGUACCUGACUAAGAAGCCCCGGCUAACUACGUGCCAGCAGCCGCGGUAAUACGUCGGGGGCAAGCGUUAUCCGGAUUUACUGGGUGUAAAGGGAGCAUAGACGGCGCUGCAAGUCCGGAGUGAAAGCCCAUGGAUUAACCAUGGUACUGCUCUGGAAACUGGGGGGCUUGAGUGCGGGGGGGGCAGGCGGAAUUCCUAGUGUAGCGGUGAAAGGCGUAGAUAUUAGGCGGAACACCAGCGGCGAAGGCGGCUUACUGGGCCGUGACUGACGUUGAGGCUCGAAAGCGUGGGGAGCAAACAGGAUUAGAUACCCGGGUAGUC
rnacentral:rRNA from 1 species